rnacentral:lncRNA from 1 species
UUUACAUACCGAUAUCUAAGCGAAUUAGCCAGACAUGCUAAACAAACUUAAAUACUUAUCAUGCAUAAACAGACUCAUCCCAGGCAAAUAAUAUAAAUAAAUAAUAAAAUAAAGCAUUAAAUAAUAAUUAAAGAACCUGAAUAAGUUAAACAGUAGUCUUGAACACUCCACCACAAGCCGGUAGGAUUUGUUCUUGGAUUCUUCAAUUAAAC